UCGAGAAUCUUUCGCAAUGCCCGAAAGGGUGACGAAGCGACGCCGCGUGCGGGAGGAAGGCCUUCGGGUUGUAAACCGCUGUCGGGAGUUAAGAAAUGCAAGGAUGUUAAUAGCGUUCUUGCUUGACUAAGGCUCCGGAGGAAGCCACGGCUAACUCUGUGCCAGCAGCCGCGGUAAUACAGAGGCGGCAAGCGUUGUUCGGAAUUAUUGGGCGUAAAGAGCACGUAGGCGGCUGUGUAAGUCGGUUGUGAAAGCCUUCCGCUUAACGGAAGAACGGCAUCCGAUACUGCAUAGCUUGAGUGCGGGAGGGGAGAGUGGAACUUCUGGUGGAGCGGUGAAAUGCGUAGAUAUCAGAAGGAACACCGGCGGCGAAGGCGACUCUCUGGUCCGUAACUGACGCUGAGUGUGCGAAAGCUAGGGGAGCAAACGGGAUUAGAUACCCCAGUAGUCCCUGAGCGGGCUGGCAAGGCGCAU
rnacentral:rRNA from 1 species